rnacentral:rRNA from 1 species
UUAAUAGUGCCCUCUGAUGCAAAUCAUUGGGUUAGAUCUGCUCUCUUCGCAAGAAGAGGGUUUCCAUACACACCGUGAACUGUGGCUUCGGCCAUCACAAACUGUUAGUAAUGAAUGUAAUAUCAUAACAAAAACAAAACUUUUAACAACGGAUCUCUUGGCUCUCGCAUCGAUGAAGAACGCAGCGAAAUGCGAUAAGUAAUGUGAAUUGCAGAAUUCAGUGAAUCAUCGAAUCUUUGAACGCACCUUGCGCCCUUUGGUAUUCCGAAGGGCAUGCCUGUUUGAGUGUCAUGAAACCUCACCCCACUUGGGUUUUUGCCUGAGCGGUGGUGUAUUGGGUGUUGCCUUGCUAAAGGCUCGCCUUAAAGACAUAAGCACCUUGGAUGUAAUACGUUUCAUCCUUCUGGGUGGCUGAUAACCCCACAUAUUCAUGAUCUGGCCUCAAAUCAGGUAGGGCUACCCGCUGAACUU